CUUCGCGAUUUUCCCCACAAGACAAGCACAUGGUUUGUUGCUGAAUUGUUUGUUUUAUGGACCUUGUUUUAUCAGGUUACUACAAUGAUUUCAUGGGUUUGCACCCACCCGGUACUUGAUGAUGUUCUAAGAGCCUGUGGAUUCCUGAAACAUUGCUUGAUUGUCUUUCCUUGAAAUCGCAGCUAAUUCAAUUUGCUGCGGAAUGUACUGCAAAAGUAUUCUCUCAGCGAUAAUGCUGUGUUCAGUCUUCCCUACUAUUCUCAACCGUGGGAGAAAUCCAAAGUGUCUCAUCUUAUUAGCUAGGGAUUCGAUCUAACAAUUGCCUGCUCAACCUCACAAAUAUUUUGUGUUGUCACGUGGGAUUUUACCCACAGUCCUUUGACUCAUUUUUCAGGGGAUAGCUAAAGUCAAAAUGGGUAUAGGCACUGGCGAAUGCUCAGUGCAAUUUCAACACUUGACUGUGACGACUCAAAAGCAGGUGGAAUUCUGGGAAUUGCUCCAUCGAGUCGAUUGAACAGUUGCUUAUCACACCGAGCAUGAAGUUCCCAUCAUUGAAAAUAUUUACAAUGAGCGUCCGUAGGAGAAUUAGGCCGUUGCAGAUGGGGGGAACAAAUUCUCUAGUCUCUUGACUACGGUUCCCAGUGAAAUUCUUUUUCCCGGUUCAGUCUCAAUCAUAUCACGAAUCAACUCGUAAACUGGACUCAAUUCCUUGUUUGAUGUCCGUAUGGCUUCUAACGAUGAAUUCCUCUCUUCAAAAAGUAGAAAAAGAGGCAACCAAGUGACCACGUAUCGCACGUG